AUGUGUUAUCUUUACCAAUUCAUUUACAUAGAUUGAUCAAGCUAUCUUCCAUAUAUGAUCAAAUCUUUUCUUAUAAAGGCCUAUAUUGGUCUUCUUGUCAUAUAGCUUAAAAUAGUGUUCAGCCAGGUUUUCUUAUCUUUUCCAGAUGAGAUAUGUAGCAGCAAAGUUUCUUAUCUCUAACCACAAUAGAGAAUACCACACAGAAAGAUAAAAAACAUGCAAUGCAAGAUGUAGUGCAACCAAAGACAAUAAAAGUGGAUAGAAAAAUUACGUUGUUGCAUCUGCCGCUGCGAUGACUCUUGUUCCAUCCCCACCUGGAGCAAAUUGACCAAAAUACUGUCACCAUGUUAUUAUCAAUUACUGAGAUUAAAUUAGUCAAGAGUAAUCGAGAGUUCGAGACUCAUGAAACCACAACUCUCAUAUUUUCUAUAUCCAAUUCUCCGUCCCUUCCACAUUUCCGUGCACACCAACAAGCUUAAUAAUAUAAUAAGUUCUAAAUUAGAACAUAACAUAUAGCAACGGCAUCUAGCAUUCGUAAGAUAUACAGGUACAGAACAUCGAAUUUUUAGCUACAUUGUUUAUGUUGAGUCCAAUGAGACAGUGCCAUAAGAAAUUCAAUCUCGAAGUUUGUCUACGAUGUAUUCUUUUACAUUUAAAUUUCUUGUAAAGUCUUUACUUUCCUAACUUUCUUUACUUUAUCACUCUUUUCUCUAUAUCAAAGUUCAUGGCCAGGCUUUACUUACCUUGCGGCUGAACUCUGGAUUAUCGGGGGGGAAUUCCCCUGGGAACCAGAGGGUUAAUACCAAAAAAAAAAAGUUCAUGUGAUUCAUAGUUCAUGCAUGUGUUCCAUUCUCUGUUUCUAUUUAUGUGCAAGUUGUCAAUAUUGAAUCUACAACCCAUUCUGACUUACCACAUUUUUAAUCUGUCCAGAUUAAGGAUGGAAAACACCAGAACUCGUGGAUACCGCAUAGGUUACUCGCAAUGCAGGGGGAAAUUGAUAUCAUGUACAAUAAUAUGGCCUGAAGAUUUUAUCAUAACAAUAAUUCCAUUUUAUGGUGGACUAUAAUUGGCUUUACUUUUAAGGAAACCAUAUUAAAUACUAAUGAACUUUGAUAUAAUUAAACUUUUCAAAGUUGGAUAAAA